rnacentral:rRNA from 1 species
CCUACGGGAGGCAGCAGUGAGGAAUAUUGGUCAAUGGGCGAGAGCCUGAACCAGCCAAGUCGCGUGAGGGAGUACUGCCCUAUGGGUUGUAAACCUCUUUUGUCGGGGAGCAAAAGCCGGACGUGUCCGGCUGUGAGAGUACCCGAAGAAAAAGCAUCGGCUAACUCCGUUCCAGCAGCCGCGGUAAUACGGAGGAUGCGAGCGUUAUCCGGAUUUAUUGGGUUUAAAGGGUGCGCAGGCGGAUUUUUAAGUCAGCGGUAAAAUCGUGGGGCUCAACCCCAUCCAGCCGUUGAAACUGGGGAUCUAGAGUGUGCGAGAGGUAUGCGGAAUGCGUGGUGUAGCGGUGAAAUGCAUAGAUAUCACGCAGAACCCCGAUUGCGAAGGCAGCAUACCGGUGCACAACUGACGCUCAGGCACGAAAGCGUGGGUAUCGAACAGGAUUAGAUACCCCGGUAGUC